GGUAUCCGAAUCCGGCCAGGGCUCCGAUUUCUCUCACCGUGAAAUCUGCACCGACUACAAAUUGCUGUUCCGAUCGAGAAUUGCAGUCAUUUGCUCCGAUUGUGAUCAAGUACAUCCAUUCCAAGCUUCAAGAGAACGAACCCACCAUUCGUUCCCCCACCAAAGAGAGAGAGAGAGAGAGAGGUAAGAAGGUUAAAUAUUAAACUUGUUUUCGAGGGGAGUACUCCCACGCAAAUUUUCUUUCAGUUUCACUACUUAAUCUAGAUUUUCAGAGUUAAAUUGACAUUCAAUUUUUCAGAUUUUGCAUUGUUCUUGAACUCUCCCAUUCAGUGGCUCGCGCCUCUCUUACUCUCUUCAGUUGUAAGACUAAGUUAUUCUUCUCUCCUUCAUUAUUACUAUUAUUUGAAUGUUGGGUUGAAUUGGAAGAUUUUUUUUUUUUUUCAAUUCGAGAGUCUAGGUUUUACUGGGUUAGAAGACUUUUUGAUGGUACUACGUCUAUGUAUUUAGAUUGAUGCUUAGUUUACGAAUUUUAAUUACCUUCCAUGUUUAGCUGCAUGUAGAUAUGUUGAUUAGCUGGGUCUUUAUAAUCAAAUACCUUUUAAUCAUCUCAUAUGCGUCUUCUUCUAGAUUUGUUAUUUGUUUAGCAGUUUAGCUGCAUUUAAUUCAUGUUGUUUUUUAGUUGUCUUGUUUAUACCUCUAUAUACCUGAUUUUGAUUAUAAAUUUGUGAUAUCAUGAUAUUUAGUCUGAUGUAAUGAGAUAAUAUAUACGCAUGUUGGUGAUGGCGUCAAAUGAGAUGAGGCCUCAAGUGGCGACUCUAGCGAAAGAAAUAAGAGAAGAAAACUCAGAGAAAGGUUCGCUACCAGGAAAGGCAAGACCAAUGAAUUGACUCAUGGUAGUCCUGGAUUCCACAUUAAUCAUGGAAUUGGUGGCUGACAUUCUCAAGGAGUCACAAAAACAGAAUUUUAGUCUCAACCCCCCAAUAACAUUGGACAGCGGUGGAAAGCACCGAAUCUGUGGGGAAAUCCUUGCAAACGAGAUAAGAGGGAGACAGACAAAGGAAAUGGAAAAAGUGACGCAAUGGAAGAGGCUAAACGUACAAACAGAAACAAGAAAUUUCCUUUGAUCGGAAAGAUAUCACGGAAGGAUUCUAAGGUCUUAAAGUUCUUAUUUAAGAAGCCAAGGAAAGGAGGACAUGAGUCUAGAAAAGCAUCAUUGUUUUUGACCAGUGCAUUAAUUGAUUAAUUCAGGAAAGAGGUUACCCGUAGUGGGGAUUUUGGGGUGUCCCUUGAGGAUAUCCAAUGUCUUUGCCCUACAAUCUCAAUUUCUUCGAAGGUAUGCGAAUAUAUUAUCCGUGCCAAUUUCUUCUAAGCUAUUAUUGCACAUACAUUAUAGGGCUGUAAUCUUAACUUGAGAUGACUCAUGGUUCUUGCCUACUUUCUUUGGGGUACAAAGAAAUUACAUUAGGAAUAAUAACUCUGCUAUUGUACUUGCAUACAAACAAUGUUGAUAAUGAACGCAGUUGCAACUGAAGUAGUUGCCCCUGAAUGUGGCAGAGCGACAGGCAUGAUCCAUGAGAAGCCUCCCAACAGAUGGAAAUGUUGCAGCCAUCGCAAGAGAAAAUCCCGUGUGUGAUGGUGUUUGGAAAAGUGUUGCAUUUUCGGUUUUUAGUGUAUAGUGUAGGUGUACAUAUGCCUUGCGCAACUUGUCCAUCUAUAUGCUAAUGCUAGGCUUUGUUGGCCAUCUUUUGUCAAGUUUGUGUUUUAAUUAUUGAUAAAACUUUUUUGGAGUAUUGGUGCAAUUUACAAACAGAAAUUCUGGAAUUAAUACAUUUGGUUUUUUUCUUAGGCACUCGUAUGGUCUUUGGACAUUGCCAUGGAAUUAGAAAUUGCUAGAACUUCUUCAAAGUAUGCACAAAGAUCUAUUAUAUCGUUUUGUUUACUUCUAACAAAAUAUGUACAAUAGACUUUAUUCUAUUUGAUAAACUGUUAUACUUGGUUUAAACUGAGACUUGAAUGUAAUAAGAUUGGCCAUUCAC